GAUUUUCGACGGCUUUUAUCAUCCAGAAAAAUAAACUUAAAAUUUCGUUAUUAGUUUACGACGACUUUUCAAUAAAUAAAAAAUCUCGAUAGAUUUUAAUCGUCGGAAAAGACCAUCAUAAUCAACAUUGUCGAAAAUUGUUGGAAAAGUUUCCAACAAUUUUUCAACAAGGCAUAAUUAAUUACACAUACAAAUAAUGUACUAAAUGUAUAAAACAUAUAAAAAAAACUUGUUUAUUAGAAAGAAGACACAAAUGAAAUUAUAGAGUUUGCUAAAGAGAAACACAAAUAAGAAAGAUCAGGAGGCCGAUGGCGGAAAAGAUCCCGGAAAAUGCUUCUCGAUGAAUUCUUGUAGGAGUAUGAGCGACUGACGAGUCUCUUCGUUCUGUUUUUCCAAUUGCUUGUAUCUCAAGUCUUUUUCCUCGACGACUAGCAUAUAUGGUACAAUAGCACUGAUCUUUUACCAUAUUGUUUUAGCCUUAAGGAAAACAAAACUAAUAUUGUGUGUUUCUUGAAGUUACCUGUUUGGUUUGGAUCAUGAGUGCGUCUUGCUUCUAGGAAAUCCGAAAUAAUGGCGGCUAUGAUUAUUGACAUGCAGAAUAUUGCAGGUAGGCUGAAUAUGAUAAACUCUUUUCUUUUUACAGUUUCUAAUUGAAUUCUAAAUACGUAACGAUGCUGCAUAUAUGAAGACACCAUAACAAAAAUACACAUAUUAUGAUGACAAAAAGAGUGAAAAAGAUGAAGUUUCUGAGUAUAGUAAAUAAAAAGCUAUAUAUAUACCCGUCCAUGAUUGCUAAAGAACAUUUCAAAGCUAACCCUGUUCUCGUUA
rnacentral:lncRNA from 1 species